CAAGACCCAAGAAGGAUUUACUCAUGAUUUAGUAUUUCAUGUGUAUACAUCUCUGAUCAUUUUCAACUGAUUCUUGACUACCAUUAGAGGAAGAAGAUUAAACUCAGUCAUUUGCAAUGUUUUACAUGGUCAGGAACAGAGAUGAACUUAUAACUUGCAACUGAUUCUGUUCAGAAAGUGGCCUAAAGAUGAACUCAGGAAAAAGGAUGCUUGAUGAGGACCCCACAGACUGC